CCUACGGGAGGCAGCAGUGGGGAAUAUUGGUCAAUGGAGGAAACUCUGAACCAGCAACGCCGCGUGAAUGAUGAAGGUCCUCGGAUUCUUAAGCUUCUUUUUUCGGGAAGCAGAUAGUGACGGUCCUUUACGAAUAAGUCUCGGCUAACUACGUGCCAGCAGCCGCGGCAAUCCGUCGGCGGCAAGCGUUAUCCGGAUUGAAUGGUUGUAAAGGGUGCUUAGGUGGUUUGGCAAGGUAGUCGCUUAAUCCCGGGGGUCAACCUCGGGACGACUGCUAAAACUGCCAGACGUGAGUGCUGGAGAAGCAAGUGGAAUGCCUGGUGUAGCGGUGGAAUGCAUAGAUAUUAGGAAGAACACCGAUGGCGAAGGCGAAUUGCUGGACUGAAACUGACGCUGAGGCACGAAAGCGUGGGUAGCGAACAGGAUUAGAUACCCGAGUAGUC
rnacentral:rRNA from 1 species